GUGAGAGCAGUGCUGGAAAGGUAAUCCUACAGAAACCUGGCCUGCAGGCUGUGCUGAUUGGAUUAUUUACUGCUUCUGCUCUCCGCUGAGGACGCCCACCCUCGCGCUAUACCACCGCACCAGAGUUCGGCUCUUCAGGCCUUGUUUUCGUCUGCAGUGUUCUUCAGGAACGGGUGUUUUAUAUUCAGCGUUGAUUCCUGUACAGGCGUUCUCCAUAGCUCCGCCCUCCACCCGCCAUAGCAGUUGAAACACUGGUCACCGUGCCCACCUGUGAUUAAAGCAGGCGGUCAGCGUGCAUUAGCGUAAUGUAAUCUGUCAGAAGGUUAACUGCUGUCCCUGUUGGCUUACCAAGACCUGGUAGUAGGCUUCCGUCUUAAGUUGUAAUUCUCCACUACUGCUCACGAGCACGUUCGCUUCACCCAGCCAUAGCCCUGCUGUGCAGUAUGUCGAACCAUGUGUACGGUGAUCGUGUGCUUCCUUAUACGCCAGCUGUGUAAGUUCCUCAUCAGCUUGUGGGCCACGCGAGAAGCUUCAGCUCGAAUCAGCCCAGCAAACACAGACAGCCUGCAGCAGCUGGAGGAGACGGUCAGCUCGGACAACAGUGAAGAACCUGCUAAACACUAAAACACACAGAGAUCCUCAGAGUUGGUCAGGACUGAAGCAGCGGUGAGGACAGACCUCCUCCCUCCUUCCCUCCGUCUGACGGUUCUCCCUCACUCCUCCCCCUCUCCUCUUCGCUGCCCUGACAGCUCUGACCCCGCUGACCCCUGGAUAUUCCUGCAGCGAGUAAAGCCACCAGAGCAGGGCGGCGUGGGGGGAGGCCGGGGGGCUAAUUAAUGAGCUCUGAGAAUGAAACCGGGCUGCUGACGGGCAGUGGAGA
rnacentral:lncRNA from 1 species